rnacentral:rRNA from 1 species
UGGGGAAUAUUGCACAAUGGGCGAAAGCCUGAUGCAGCAACGCCGCGUGAGUGAUGAAGGCCUUCGGGUUGUAAAGCUCUGUCUUUUGGGACGAUAAUGACGGUACCAAAGGAGGAAGCCACGGCUAACUACGUGCCAGCAGCCGCGGUAAUACGUAGGUGGCAAGCGUUGUCCGGAUUUACUGGGCGUAAAGGAUGCGUAGGCGGAUUUUUAAGUGAGAUGUGAAAACCCUAAGCUUAACUUGGGGACUGCAUUUCAUACUGGAAAUCUAGAGUGCGGGAGAGGAGAAUGGAAUUCCUAGUGUAGCGGUGAAAUGCGUAGAGAUUAGGAAGAACACCAGUGGCGAAGGCGAUUCUCUGGACCGUAACUGACGCUGAGGCAUGAAAGCGUGGGUAGCAAACAGGAUUAGAUACCCUGGUAGUCCACGCCGUAAACGAUGAGUACUAGGUGUAGGAGGUAUCACCCCCUUCUGUGCCGCAGUUAACACAAUAAGUACUCCCGCCCUGGGGAAGUACGAUCGCAAGAUUAAAACUCAAAUGAA